UGAGGACUUCAGCAACUGAGAUGCUGAGCAUUUCAUAGGCUCAGCCUGGAACAAAGAAAAGCGAGUUCCUAAUACUGUAUCUCUCGGGUUGGAGGGAUCACGUGUCCUGCUUUCGGUGGAAUGCACUCUGCUCGCCCACGCUAUAAAAUCUCUUUUGUGCUUGGAAAUAUUGCCCAGGUUAAAAUAUGCUCAAAUACAAAUUGCUUGUCUUCCAUCGGGAAAGCCAUAUUUCAACAUUUACAGGAUCAGAAACGCGUCCUGCAUCCUUAAUGACUGGGAGAGGAGGAUGCGAAGGGGCCCAGUAAUGAAUUAGGAAUAGUGCGGGAUCACCAGCUUCGGUGGAACACAAAGGAGAUGUGCGGGUAGGAGUUGUCUGGAAUAGGGAGAGGGAGGCAUCAUUUUCCCUGACUCCUAAGGAAAGCUUUUACCCCAUUGCUCCCCCACUUCUUUCAGUCCUCCAGUCUUUCAUGCUCCUUCAUCUCCUUUAUCCCCCCCACCAAGCCCCACCCCUGC
rnacentral:lncRNA from 1 species